CACGUAGGGGGCAAGCGUUGUCCGGAAUCAUUGGGCGUAAAGAGCUCGUAGGCGGCUCAGUAAGUCGGGUGUGAAACCCUCAGGCUCAACCUGGGGACGCCACCCGAUACUGCUGUGGCUAGAGUCCAGUAGGGGAGUGUGGAAUUCCCGGUGUAGCGGUGAAAUGCGCAGAUAUCAGGAGGAACACCAAUGGCGAAGGCAGCUCGCUGGGACGGUACUGACGCUGAGGCGCGAAAGCGUGGGGAGCAAACAGG
rnacentral:rRNA from 1 species